UGGGGAAUAUUGCGCAAUGGGCGAAAGCCUGACGCAGCGACGCCGCGUGUGGGAUGACGGCCUUCGGGUUGUAAACCACUGUCGCGAGGGACGAAGAUCUGACGGUACCUCGAAAGGAAGCACCGGCUAACUCUGUGCCAGCAGCCGCGGUAAUACAGAGGGUGCAAGCGUUGUCCGGAAUUACUGGGCGUAAAGGGCGCGUAGGCGGUCCAAUAAGUAGGGGGUGAAAUCUCACGGCUCAACCGGGAGG
rnacentral:rRNA from 1 species